GUCCACGCCGUAAACGAUGUCAACUAGCCGUUGGGGUACUUGAUACUUUAGUGGCGCAGCUAACGCGAUAAGUUGACCGCCUGGGGAGUACGGUCGCAAGAUUAAAACUCAAAUGAAUUGACGGGGGCCCGCACAAGCGGUGGAGCAUGUGGUUUAAUUCGAAGCAACGCGAAGAACCUUACCUACUCUUGACAUCCAGAGAACUUUCCAGAGAUGGAUUGGUGCCUUCGGGAACUCUGAGACAGGUGCUGCAUGGCU
rnacentral:rRNA from 1 species